GGUGAAGCUGGCCGACACGAGCGCGGCGGUGGCCGCCGGAGCCACCGAGAUCGACAUGGUGAUCGACCGGGGCGCGUUCCUGGCGGGCGAUUACCGC
rnacentral:tRNA from 1 species